AGGGCGCGGGCUGGGGCCGGCCCAGGUCGGCGCCCCGCUUGCCUUGCUCUCUCGAUCGCGCCCUUUGCUCGUUCUCCCGCUCGCUUUUCGGUCCAGCCGAAGGCUCAGGGCGCAGCAGAGCGCGCUCCGCUCCUUGGCGCUCGGAAAGCUGCAAACCACGCCCCGCGCCUUCCCCGCCCGCCGCCCGCCGCCGAGUCCCGCGCUCGCCGCUCGGCGGCCGCUGUCGAGCCCGCCCGCGAGCGCCGGGGGCGGAGCCGCCCGCCUCCCCCCGCAGGCCCGCGGCGGCCCAGGGCGGGCAAGUUUCUCUCCGUGCUGUGGAACACCUGAGACGGUCUGAGGAAGAUGCUAACUCAGAACGCAGGUCUGAAACUCAGUGGAAACUGGAUCCUUGGGAAUCCGUCUUGCAGGUGCCAGUUUGAUUUUCCAGCAAAUUGCUCAAUGCUUUUGGAGUCAGGAUAAUGUCAGUUGGCUCCCGCUUACCUCCUGUGCUGCUGUUACAGUAUUACUAAGGCGCUCGAGGUCCUAUAUGAAAGGUUUGCAUUAUUUGUUAUUAAUUGUUUGAGUCACAACAAAGCGCUGUAAAGCAAGAAGAGCUUUCUUGGUCCUGGGAUGUCUUUUCAUAGAACCGUUUUGCCUGAUACAAUACAUGUAAACCAUUGAGCCAAUUUUGGGGAGAAUUUGGGCUUCAGGGUCCGUGGAGCUGUCUACAAAGCAUUGUCUGCUAUUUUCCUUCUUUGUUCUAUUCAUUCUAUUCAUUUCCAUUUUACGUCGGUUGCUUCCUUUACAGUAAAUGCUGGAAAAUCAUCAUGGCAACAGUCUCUGGAGAAAAUGUUAUAAAUAAUUUCUUAAUUAUUGUUCCUUUGUAGGCAUCUGUGCUACAAGUCCUCGAAGUGAAAGGACUGUUGUUCCCUAUUGUAUCUAGUGCACUGAAGAGAGUCCAGAAUAAAGUGUCUCAAAAUGUUUUCAGAUGUCCCCAGUUAGAGACUUCUAAUUACCUAUGGUGUCUCCUAGCCAUGCCAGUUUGGAUAUUAAAUUACUACCUACUUUUAAAUCAUCAAAUUAGACUAAUGGCAAGAGCACAGAAACAGAUCCUCCUCACUUUGAAAUGAAAAUAAAAUGUAAUGCUAAGCCAAACAAAGACACACCUGGUUCUUUUGAAGCACAACACUGGGCAUGUAAAUGGAUGGCUCAUCUGCUUCCAUCUCUGACUGGCAGAGUAACAGUUGCCAUGAACCCAGCCAUGCCCACAUUCUCCCAUGCACCAAAAUACAGUCAUAGUACAAUAACAUAGUAUGAUGUCAUGUUAUGCCUCUUAGCUAUUAUUUACAUGAGGCCUCUGUAUUUAUAGCAAAAUGUCCGUUCAGCUCAACAGCCCACCUGAGAGACUUAGCCAGCUCCAACUGUGGUAAACACAAGUUUUGCAAAUUGAUCAAACUGAAAGCAAUCUGUGACUUGGUACACAAGCAUGCUGUGGCAUAUGGCGAGAACCACUGAAGCCGACAUUCAGCACAUACUGGCGUAUUGUACGGAGCAGGACGAAAACAUGGUCUGAGGCACUCAAGCGAGUUGGACAUCCUCAUGCCAUUAAAGGAACUAAAUUCACCACUCUUGAAGAUAGGCAGCAACUCCUCUCUGUCACAGCAUAGAUUUCUCUGAACUAGAGUUGUUUUCCUUCCUGCAUCUCACACUAGACUGUGAGUUCCUUGUCUUUGCAUCUCGAGUACCUAAAUAAGAAUGGCAAAGAAUUUCAUCCCGGAGGCAAAUUCUAGUCUUGUCCUUGGGUGCCAUGUUGAGAAGGACGGUGGGGCUGCAUCUGGGUUUGGCAAGAAAGAGUAUAAGUUGACUAAUAACUGAGUCUCUGCCAUGGGCACAGAAGGGGGGAAGUAUUGACACUAGUAUCAUAUUUCAUCUACCCUGAGAGUAGUAGGAGAUAAUAAUGUUAAAUGAUUGGCCAGGUGGAUGAGUGAACUUAAGAACAACACAGAGUAUCUUUAGCCAAAGAGGCAGGUGUAAUAUUAAUUAAUCUGAGGCAGGAUGAGACCAUCUUACUAUGUGGCCUCUAUUUUAUUGACAAUGUUAGUACUAACGACAAAAGGAGAUUGGCUUAGAGCUAAACACUGCUUGUUAGGAGGCUAACACUGCCAACCUCAAGGAACAAUCUUUUGCUACAAUAUUUUUUACCACAUUGGGAGCAUUUGUGUGAGCCUGGGAUGAAAAUAGCUGGCCAGGAAAACAGCUCUGUUCCUCUUUGUCCAAGAGUCCAAUCACACCCUGUACAGGCCUGAGCUCCUUAUCUCGUUCUGGUCUUAUUUCCUGCCAAACCUGGAAACUAACAGAAAUAAAUGUUGGCUAAUUGCUCCCUUGGCCAGUGUGAUCUUUCUGACCAUUGUCCUGACUCAAGAGAAAGUUGUGUCCAACAUGCAGGUGUUCACUGCCAAUUUAGUAGACGGUCUCUCCGCCAAUCAAUGGACUUUCUGCCAAUUGAAUCAGAGUCCAACGUUUUAGAGUUUGAAGAAAAAUUAAAAUGAAUAUACCAUGAUUCAAUGAAAUUGUAUAUGUAAAGUGGUAAGCAUGGAGCUUAGCAUGCAGUAAGCACUCAACAAAUGAUAGUUGUUAUUGCAAUUAUUGUAAUCAGUAACACUGGGGCUUAGAAGGAUAUUAUUUCAAAAGCACUCUUAUUGAAUUGGUAAAUAAAGUAUUGGAUUGAAAAAAAUUCCGUAACUCACCUCGUUUUG